rnacentral:rRNA from 1 species
GUGCCAGCAGCCGCGGUAAGACGAGCCACACAAACGUUAUUCGGAAUUACUGGGCUUAAAGGGUGCGUAGGCGGCGCGGAAAGUUGGGUGUGAAAGCCCUCGGCUCAACCGAGGAAUUGCGCCCAAAACUACCGUGCUUGAGGAAGAUAGAGGUGAGCGGAACUCAGGGUGGAGCGGUGAAAUGCGUUGAUAUCCUGAGGAACACCGGUGGCGAAAGCGGCUCACUGGAUCUUUUCUGACGCUGAGGCACGAAAGCUAGGGUAGCGAACGGGAUUAGAAACCCCAGUAGUCC